rnacentral:rRNA from 1 species
CAUGCAGGCGGAUUGUUAAGUCGGGGGUGAAAUCCCGAGGCUCAACCUCGGAACUGCCUUCGAUACUGGCAAUCUUGAGUCCGGGAGAGGUGAGUGGAACUGCGAGUGUAGAGGUGAAAUUCGUAGAUAUUCGCAAGAACACCAGUGGCGAAGGCGGCUCACUGGCCCGGUACUGACGCUGAGGUGCGAAAGCGUGGGAGCAAACA